rfam:Oryza glaberrima chromosome 4 Oglab04_0286_4, whole genome shotgun sequence.
AAUAAGCACGGGACGAGUUUCCGUGUCCAACUUUAACAUCUGUCUUAUUUUUAAAAAAAUUAUGAUUAGAAUUUUUAUUGUUAUCAUAAUAUAAAACAUGAGUAGUAAUUUACGUGUGACUUAGAAAAAGAUUAAAGUUAGAUACGGACACUCAUGUUUUCACUUAUU